rnacentral:rRNA from 1 species
UCUCAGUAUAAACGAUUUAACAGUGAAACCGCGAACGGCUCAUUACAACAGGUAUAAUUUACUUGAUCUUGAAAGAAUCCUACUUGGAUAACUGUGGUAAUUCUAGAGCUAAUACAUGCCCUAAAGCUCUGACCUCGCGGGAAGAGUGCAUUUAUUAGAUCAAAACCAAGCGGCUUCGGCCGUCUACCACUGACUUAAAGUAACUAAGCUGAUCGUAUGGUCUUGUACCGACGACGUAUCUUUCAAGUAUCUGCCUUAUCAACUUUCGAUGGUAGUGUAGUGGACUACCAUGGUUGUGACGGGUAACGGAGGAUAAGGGUUCGACUCCGGAGAGGGAGCUUGAGACACGGCUACCAUGUCUAAGGACAGCAGCAGGCGCGCAAAUUACCCACUCUCAGAACGAGGAGGUAGUGACGAAAAAUAACGAGACCGUUCUCUAUGAGGCCGGUCAUCGGAAUGGGUACAAUCUAAACCCUUUAACGAGUAUCUAUGAGAGGGCAAGUCUGGUGCCAG